AGUUGGUUCAAAGGUUGUGGGUUAUUGUUGACAUUGUCUCCUCCAAAACCCACCCUUGACUAGCUCUAA
ensembl:Y_RNA Y_RNA Y RNA